GACGAACGCUGGCGGCGUGCUUAACACAUGCAAGUCGAACGGAAAGGCCCUGCUUUUGUGGGGUGCGCGAGUGGCGAACGGGUGAGGAACACGUGAGUAACCUGCCCUUGACUUUGGGAUAACUUCAGGAAACUGGGGCUAAUACCGGAUAGGAGCUCCUGCUUCAUUGUGGGGGUUGGAAAGUUUCGGCGGUUGGGGAUGGACUGGCGGCUUAUCAGCUUGUUGGUGGGGUAGUGGCUUACCAAGGCUUUGACGGGUAGCCGGACUGAGAGGGUGACCAGCAACAUUGGGACUGAGAUACGGCCAAGACUCAUACGGGAGGCAGAAGUGGGGAAUAUUGAACAAUGGGAGGAAGCCUGAUGCAGCAACGCCGCGUGCGGGAUGACGGCCUUCGGGUUGUAAACCGAUUUCGCCUGUGAAGAAGAGUGAGUGACGGUAAUGGGUAAAGAAGCACAGGCUAACUACGUG
rnacentral:rRNA from 1 species